AUUUCUUUUUAAGUUUUUUCAAUUUGGAAGUAGUACUAUUCUUAUCAGUUUAAUCUCUGUUAUGUCCCCUAUCAGGGGACGUGUAUAUGGCAUCGAUUUUAGGAACCGGGAGAUGGAAAAAGAUGCUUGGUCGGUCCUCCUACUUCAAAUUUGGGGCACUGCAUGUGCAAUCUAAUGUGCCACCAGAUAGGAGUG
rnacentral:snRNA from 1 species